rnacentral:lncRNA from 1 species
GAAUAUUUUUAUUUUCUUUAACUCAAAAGAAAUUUUAAUUGCAAAAGUGUUAAGACUUCCAAUUAUCAUACCGACUUUGAGUUUAUCAUUCUCUUCUUUCUCUUCUCUCUUUCUUUCUUCUUAAUCUGACAAUAUUUAUUAAGCCCCUCCAUUAUGAAUGUAGCAUUCUUUUUGCCUUUUUCUUCUCUGGAUUGCUUUCAGUUUUUCUAAUGUUUAUCUUCUUUUAUUUCACUGAAAUAUUUAAUAUUACUGCCUUCCUCAAAUGUAGUUAUCAAUUAAUAUUUUUUCCUUAUUCAAAGGUUUUUGAAUAAUUUGUAAUGAAUUCAGUUUAAAAUGCAUGCCUUUAUGUUGUUCUGGUCAAUAUUCUUCAGCGAUUCAGUGGGAUCAGAAAUUAAUUUACAAAACCUGUGAAUGUCAUAAAGCAAACACAGUGGAGGAAAUGAAAUCACCAAUAUUUAAGAAUCACAUAGAUCCAAAUAAACAGCCCCCUAAAAAAGAUGAGAUUAUUAAUAAAUAAAGUCCUUUAUUUUGCUGAAAAAAAUGUGCAGAAACAGACUGGCAUUAAUACAUAAAAAUAAUGUUUUGGAGUUUCCAUUGCGGCUCAGUGGGUUAAGAACCUGACACAGUGUCUGUGAGGAUGCAGGUUUGAUCCCUGGCCUCAACUGGUUGGUUAAGGAUCUGGUAUUGCUGCAAACUGUGGCAUAGAUCAGAGAUGUGGCUUGGAUCCUGCAUUGCUGUGGCUGUGGCUGUGGUUGUGGCCAGCAACUGCAGCUCUGUUUCUACCCUUAGCCUGGGAACUUCCAUAUGCCAUAGGUGCAGCCCUAAAAAGAAAAAAUGUUUUACUUGCUUUGUUAAAUCUAAACUGAUAUUUUCAAAAAUAAUUUUCAUUGGUUUAUUAAAAUUAGAAACCCUACAUUUUGUAAACAAUUAAGUAAAGGGUAGUUGUGAGAUAAGAUAAACAGCAAACCUAUUUAACUUCAGACAGCUCAAAUAAAAUCAAAUGUAGUGUAUUAAUGCAUAAUCAUGUUUUAAAAUACAUAAACACUAUUAUUUCAAGAACCCCCUGUUUGUAGGGUACAGAGUUUUCUGUGCCUCCUGAAGAGUAUAGAGGAGCAUAUGAUAUGGUUAGAUAUUUAUUGAAUGAUUAAAUAAAUAUAGAAAUGCUGAAUGCAUGAAUUAAUUAUGUUACAUAGCUUAGCAGAUUCAUAGCAACGAUAAAAAUUCAUUCUACCUUCUCUCUCCUAUUAGUUUUACAGCCCUCAAGUUAUUUUCCCAUCCUGACCUAAUUCAAAUAAAAAACUUGAAACUUAUUGUACUACGAACUCUUGGUCAAAUUCAUCUUUUUCUUGUAUGUACCUAUAACUAAAGAUAACUUCUUUACAUGGCAUGAACAGAGAGCCUUAACCCAUACAAAAAUUAGAUCAUGCAUGAACACUAGAAAAUUUCCAAGUUCCAGUCUAAGUUAAAAAAAUAUGUAUAAACAAUUGAAAAUUUAGUAUCUAAAGAAUUCAUACACAGAUACAACUUUAAGACUGUCUUAUACAACCUUUCCCAGUAUGGGAAUUGCUUUACUUUCCAAAGGUGGAGGGGAUGGGGAGGCAGGUAAAGAGAGUGGCCAGUAGGCUCCUGCUCCUCAGGCCGUAUUCUUUAGAGAGAGAAACUUCAGUGCAGCACUAAUCCAAUGAGAGACAGUUGUGAUGAUUUUCUAAGUUAACACUUGAUAAAUGGUUUAUCGAACUUAAAAGUACAGCAUGUUAUGGAGAGAAGAUGUUUGCCGUAAAUAAAAGGGUAUUUUUUAAGAUGUACUGAUUCAUUUAAAACAAGUCUGAAUUUCAAGGAAAAAAUAAGAAUGGCUCAACUUGUUACUUGAAUACUUCAAACAAGGCAUUUGUAUUUCACAAGACCGUAUUUUCUUUAAAAGACCAACACAUGGUUAUUGCUCCAUAAAAUCAAAAGGUGAGCAGUUAUAAUAUUACCAGGCUUAUUUUAUUAUAUAAAUUUUUAACUCAAAAGCCAAGACAUAAAAAUAAUUUCUUCCAAUAAGAUUCUUUUAUGAAAUACAUCUUCUGAACUUGAAAUAUACAUACUGUCAGUAAUGCCAUUCAUUUUUAAAACAAAACUUGAAAUAUUAAAUAGAUGUGAUUUUAAUUGGGUGUUGUGAAGAGUUUUAUAGUACUCAGUUCUAUUACUAUUAUUCAGAAUAUUAAACUCAAAAUGAUAUUUACAGAGUUCCCGCCAUGGCUCAGAGCAAAUGAAUCUGACUAGCAUCCAUGAGGAUGCAGGUUCGAUCCCUGAACUCCCUCAGCGGGUUAAGGAUCCGGUGUUGCUGUGAACCUUGGUGUAGGUCACAGAUGCAGUGUGGAUCUGACAUUGCUAUGGCUGUGGUGUAGGCCAGCAGCUACAGCUCCAAUUCUACUACUAGCCUGGGAACCUCCAUAGGCCAUGGGUGCAAACCUAAAAAAAAAAAAAAAAA